rnacentral:rRNA from 1 species
GACGAACGCUGGCGGCGUGCUUAACACAUGCAAGUCGAACGGAAAGGCCCUGCUUGCAGGGUACUCGAGUGGCGAACGGGUGAGUAACACGUGGGUGAUCUGCCCUGCACUUCGGGAUAAGCUUGGGAAACUGGGUCUAAUACCGGAUAGGAACCAUCUUUAGUGUGGUGGUUGGAAAGUUUUUUCGGUGUAGGAUGAGCUCGCGGCCUAUCAGCUUGUUGGUGGGGUAAUGGCCUACCAAGGCGGCGACGGGUAGCCGGCCUGAGAGGGUGUACGGCCACAUUGGGAGUGAGAUACGGACCAGACACCUACGGGAGGCAGCAGUGGGGAAUAUUGCACAAUGGGCGCAAGCCUGAUGCAGCGACGCCGCGUGGGGGAUGAAGGCCUUCGGGUUGUAAACUCCGUUCGCUAGGGACGAAGCUUUGUUGUGACGGUACCUAGAUAAGAAGCACCGGCUAACUACGUG